AGCCUUCUGUAUCCGUGCUGAGAUUUCAACACACAUUAGAACACAAGGGCUGAUGAGACUUCCCAGAUAAGUGAAAUG
rfam:Schistosoma haematobium scaffold1021_16, whole genome shotgun sequence.